GAUUUGUCAGAGAUCAGCUGUGAUUAUCUGGCAGCAGCGCUGAAGUCCAACCCCUCGUAUCCCAGAGUGCUGGACCUGAGUGGAACCUACAACAACCUGCAGGAUUCAGGAGUGAAGCAGCUGUGUGUUCUUCUGGAGAAUCCACGAUGUCGAUUUGAAACUCUGAGAUUGAAGGACUGUGAUUUGUCAGAGAUCAGCUGUGAUUAUCUGGCAGCAGCGCUGAAGUCCAACCCCUCGUAUCCCAGAGUGCUGGACCUGAGUGGAACCUACAACAACCUGCAGGAUUCAGGAGUGAAGCAGCUGUGUGUUCUUCUGGAGAAUCCACGAUGUCGAUUUGAAACUCUGAGACUGAGUCACUGUGACCUGUCAGAGAGAAGCUGUGAA